UACGAAGGGGGCGAGCGUUGUUCGGAUUUACUGGGCGUAAAGGGCGCGCAGGCGGUCUUGAAAGUCAGGCGUGAAAGCCCCGGGCUUAACCUGGGAAUUGCGCUUGAUACUCUGAGACUGGAGUACGGGAGAGGAGAGUGGAAUUCCCAGUGUAGAGGUGAAAUUCGUAGAUAGUUGGGAAGAACACCAGUGGCGAAGGGCGGCUCUCAUGGACCGUAACUGACGCUGAGACGCGAAAGCGUGGGGAGCAAACAGG
rnacentral:rRNA from 1 species